GAUGAACGCUGGCGGCGUGCCUAAUACAUGCAAGUCGAGCGAACGGACGAGAAGCUUGCUUCUCUGAUGUUAGCGGCGGACGGGUGAGUGACACGUGGAUAACCUACCUAUAAGACUGGGAUAACUUCGGGAAACCGGAGCUAAUACCGGAUAAUAUUUUGAACCGCAUGGUUCAAAAGUGAAAGACGGUCUUGCUGUCACUUAUAGAUGGAUCCGCGCUGCAUUAGCUAGUUGGUAAGGUAACGGCUUACCAAGGCAACGAUGCAUAGCCGACCUGAGAGGGUGAUCGGCCACACUGGAACUGAGACACGGUCCAGACUCCUACGGGAGGCAGCAGUAGGGAAUCUUCCGCAAUGGGCGAAAGCCUGACGGAGCAACGCCGCGUGAGUGAUGAAGGUCUUCGGAUCGUAAAACUCUGUUAUUAGGGAAGAACAUAUGUGUAAGUAACUGUGCACAUCUUGACGGUACCUAAUCAGAAAGCCACGGCUAACUACGUGCCAGCAGCCGCGGUAAUACGUAGGUGGCAAGCGUUAUCCGGAAUUAUUGGGCGUAAAGCGCGCGUAGGCGGUUUUUUAAGUCUGAUGUGAAAGCCCACGGCUCAACCGUGGAGGGUCAUUGGAAACUGGAAAACUUGAGUGCAGAAGAGGAAAGUGGAAUUCCAUGUGUAGCGGUGAAAUGCGCAGAGAUAUGGAGGAACACCAGUGGCGAAGGCGACUUUCUGGUCUGUAACUGACGCUGAUGUGCGAAAGCGUGGGGAUCAAACAGGAUUAGAUACCCUGGUAGUCCACGCCGUAAACGAUGAGUGCUAAGUGUUAGGGGGUUUCCGCCCCUUAGUGCUGCAGCUAACGCAUUAAGCACUCCGCCUGGGGAGUACGACCGCAAGGUUGAAACUCAAAGGAAUUGACGGGGACCCGCACAAGCGGUGGAGCAUGUGGUUUAAUUCGAAGCAACGCGAAGAACCUUACCAAAUCUUGACAUCCUUUGACAACUCUAGAGAUAGAGCUUUCCCCUUCGGGGGACAAAGUGACAGGUGGUGCAUGGUUGUCGUCAGCUCGUGUCGUGAGAUGUUGGGUUAAGUCCCGCAACGAGCGCAACCCUUAAGCUUAGUUGCCAUCAUUAAGUUGGGCACUCUAAGUUGACUGCCGGUGACAAACCGGAGGAAGGUGGGGAUGACGUCAAAUCAUCAUGCCCCUUAUGAUUUGGGCUACACACGUGCUACAAUGGACAAUACAAAGGGCAGCGAAACCGCGAGGUCAAGCAAAUCCCAUAAAGUUGUUCUCAGUUCGGAUUGUAGUCUGCAACUCGACUACAUGAAGCUGGAAUCGCUAGUAAUCGUAGAUCAGCAUGCUACGGUGAAUACGUUCCCGGGUCU
rnacentral:rRNA from 1 species